ensembl:lncRNA
CACAGACUCAUAUCACCUUAUACAACCACAGACACACUCAGCCACACUCACAGGCAGGAGUCAGGGAAAUACUUUUUCAGAUCUGAAGGACAACAUUUUAAAUACCACAUCCAAAGGAAAGUUUUGUAAAACGACUUCCUGCCUCCUGCAACUCAGAAGAGUCCCCACAAGCAUUCUCCUUGCUGUCUCAGGGUUAUAUCACAAACUUCCAUUCAUACCAGACCAGAUAUAGCGAUCCUUUCUUGGAUUCAGAGGAGGUGGUCAAAAAUACUCAUGGAAGAAACAAACACAUACUAAUGAGCUCAGACCUCUGGGUGGAAAGAUUGGAAAGAAGCAGCAAAAUUUCCGAAGACUUCUAGAGCUCAGCUGCUUCCCCUCCUCUGGGUACCACACUGCAUCCUCCCAGCCUUGUCUGAAGACUGCAUCCCAGCCUCAUCUCAUCCCCCAUUCCUGGGUGUCCCUGAGCUUAAAGACAAGCAUCAACCAAGUUCCUUUUAACCCCUUCUAAUCACUCCAUGGAAAUGAGAACAGCAGAGAAGUUAUGAAAGUUCUGGAAUCUCACAGAGUUCUUACAUCCCAAUCGACUCUCCACUUGAAAAAGAGAAAAUUCACUCCUGCCUUGUCAACAGAACAUUGGCUUCUGGUUCUCCCAGCCUGAGAAUCCUGGAGCUACUCUUCAUCUUGACUCCGUGGCCGGGAGCCAGCACCUUCCUCUACACCUGCCCUCUCCGAUAGACUCCGUCUCUGCCAAGUGGCUCUGCAAAGAGGUUAAAUAAGCAACCACGAUCAGCUGGCUUUCCCAGAAAGGACUCGAGAAGCAGAGCAUGAGCCGUCCAGUUUUACAGAAGAGGAAACUGCCCCAGAGAAGAGACCUUCUCAAGACCGUGACCGGGAAACAGUGGAUUGGGUUUCUAGCUCCAGGGUCAGGAGGGAGAAGGAGAGGGGUGAGCGGAGUGUGGGCAAUCAGGACCCGGGAAGCAGGCAACCCAGGCCAGGCACCUGAGGCAAGAAUGCGGACGUCUCAGAAGGAACUGGAAACAAGAGCACACCUACACCCACCUCCUAAACCAGACCAUUUUUAUAAUUCUUGUGUUUUCUGUAUUAAUUUUCUCCCAUGGUAGGAAAUAGUAAAUACCAAAGCUCCAAUUGACCUCC